AAACAAAUAUACUUUAUUGUAUUUCAAGUAUAUUUAACUUUGCAAUAGUACAUUACAAAUAUACUUACAAAGGAAUGUACUUUCUUUAAACAUAUUUAAAGUAUGCUUACAACAUAUUUGCGCGUAUUUUUUACAAUUAAACUUUAAACAUACUUCAAAAUAAUUAUACUUUAGUAUAUUUUCUAAAAGUAUACUUUAGAAAAAUAUACUUAAAGUUAAAGUUUUGUGCAAUUUUUAAAGUAUACUAAAUUUAAACUUAUUUUAAAAUGUAUUUUAGGUAUACUUUAUCGGUAUGCUUAAAGUUAUCAUUAUAAUAAUGCACUGACAGUAUAUUUCUAAAAUACAUUAUUUAGUAUUCUUUAGAAACAGUAUAUUUUAAGCACAUUUUGAAAGUAUAUGGGGUGUACAAGUAUAUUAUUUUAUGGAGAAAUAACGUGGGCUUAAAAUUACGAGAGAGCAGUAUGUUCUGUUACAUUUUAUAUUGUAGAUGUAUACAUUUGUGAUAUACUAUUAACAUAAUAAGGUACACUUUAACUUCACUAUAGUCAAGCAUUGGAUAAACCAAUGAACUGUGUUUUACCACAAAAUGACCAUGGUUUUGCUAAUAAUAAUCAAUACACCAAAAAAAAAAAAAACAUGGUUACUAAACUUUUGCCACAAAAAAACAUUCAUUUUCGUAAGGGGAAUAUGAGUGUUUGUUUUUUUGUAGUUUUUGAGUCAAUUGCAUACCGCUUUUAGCUGUACACAUUAAUUAACUUAAACAGUUUUCGUAAAUGCAUUUCAGAGAAAAGUGAAUUCUGAGAUUUGAAUAAUGCAUCUGACGUGUGGGAUGACGUCACGACGCACGUAUUUUGAUUUUUACCAGUCGCUCAAGACAGACGGAUUCAGUCCCAAGAAGCUAAAGUUUUUCAAAGACAUUUGUAGGGAGGACUUUGCAGCUAAUGAUUUCCUAAGCCUGAACCAAAACCUGCCAGACUAAAGUUGAUUUGGGAGAGAAAGACGUUGUAAACUUAAUCAUCUUGACAUUCUUCAAUGAGUAAUUGUUCAAUUUUUAGGCAAAUACUGUACACUUUGAAUGCUGUGAAUAAAACUAUAUUUUAAAUAUA